rnacentral:misc_RNA from 1 species
GAAGCUUUUUCCUCUCGAAAAAGGUCUUGAGAUGCCAUAGCUGCAAUGCUGCAACUGAUAAACAGACACCAAGUGAAAGGAAACUUAACCAAGCCAUCCUUGAAUUGGUAGCUCUGUUCAUGUCUUGCAUUUCCUCUUCCCUUUCACGAAGAUAGAACAUUUCAUCAUGGAUGGACUUAACAGUGUCCUCCAACUUCUUCAACUCCAGUUCCAUUUCAUCGAUCUGCCCCUUUUUUGCCACA